GUGCUCGAUUCGGCAGCACAUAUACUAAAAUUGGAACUAUACAGAGAAGAUUAGCAUGCAAGCAUGACAUGCAAAUUCGUGAAGUGUUCCACAAAAAA
ensembl:snRNA U6 U6 spliceosomal RNA